rfam:Lactobacillus pasteurii DSM 23907 = CRBIP 24.76, type strain:CRBIP 24.76, WGS project CAKD01000000 data, contig: 24
AUGACCUUUAAGAUUAGUCCCGUGAGGCUAAGAAGGAAAUCUGAAUAGCGUAUUUUUGUCAUACGUCAAACAGAAGACCAUCUUAGACCCGGUGUCUAGGAUGGUCUUUUUU